rnacentral:rRNA from 1 species
GUCUAUGGCCAUGCUACCCUGAACAAGCCCGAUCCUGUCUGAUCUUGGAAGCUAAGCAAGGUUGGGCCUGGUUAGUACUUGGAUGGGAGACCACCUAGGAAGACCAGGUGCUGUAGGCA